AAGACAGUAGUAGGCAGCUCUCCUCUGGCAGGUGCAUUCUAGGUGAUUUUGUAAUUGUAUAUGCAUCCAAGGUAUAUACAGUCCGGCCAUGGUGCUACAUUGCAAUCAUCCAUAUGUGAUUGCAUUGUGUAUAUAUAUACAUGGUGGCCUUUGAUAGACCAUCAUAUAUCGGUUGGUUAUGUGCAUGUAUGUAUAUACCAGCUGCUACUAGCUUUGAUCGAUCGCCAUGUAGCGAUUGAAUUCACCAAAACGGCCUGCCAAAGGAGAGUUGCCCUGCGACUGUC
rnacentral:miRNA from 1 species